AAGUCGUAACAAGGUUUCCGUAGGUGAACCUGCGGAAGGAUCAUUAACGAAUGAAGUUGAGCAGGGUUGUUGCUGGCCUCCGGGCAUGUGCACACCUUGUUCUUCCAACCUUCUACACCACUGUGCACUUUCUCAUGGGUUGGGGUUCUGUGCCUUUAAUGGCUGCGUCCCUGCCUGUGUGCCUACACAUACACAUGUUUGUUAUAGAAUGUCUACUGUGCAUGAAUGCAUAUAAUACAACUUUCAGCAACGGAUCUCUUGGCUCUC
rnacentral:misc_RNA from 1 species